GCUCGGAUAGCUCAGUUGGUAGAGCAUGAGACUCUUAAUCUCAUGGGUUGUGGGUUCAAGCCCCACAUUGGGCG